GACGAACGCUGGCGGCGUGCUUAACACAUGCAAGUCGAACGGUAAGGCCCUUCGGGGUACACGAGUGGCGAACGGGUGAGUAACACGUGGGUGAUCUGCCCUGCACUUCGGGAUAAGCCUGGGAAACUGGGUCUAAUACCGGAUAGGACUCCUGGCUUCAUGGUUGGGGGUGGAAAGCUUUUGCGGUGUGGGAUGGGCCCGCGGCCUAUCAGCUUGUUGGUGGGGUAAUGGCCUACCAAGGCGACGACGGGUAGCCGGCCUGAGAGGGUGACCGGUCACACUGGGACUGAGAUACGGCCCAGACUCCUACGGGAGGCAGCAGUGGGGAAUAUUGCACAAUGGGCGCAAGCCUGAUGCAGCGACGCCGCGUGAGGGAUGACGGCCUUCGGGUUGUAAACCUCUUUCAGCUAUGACGAAGCGCAAGUGACGGUAGUAGCAGAAGAAGGACCGGCCAACUACGUGCCAGCCGCCGCGGAUA
rnacentral:rRNA from 1 species